GUCCUCGUAACAGUGACUGGGUUGUGG
rnacentral:piRNA from 1 species